rnacentral:snRNA from 1 species
GUGUUCUCUUCAGCAGCACAUAUACUAAAAUUGGAACAAGACGGAGAAGGUUGUCGUGGCCCCUGUGCAAGGAUGACAUGCAAAUUAAUGAAGUGUUCCAUUUUUUU